UCGUGUAGAUGUACCACAGUUUUCUAAUCCAUUCAUCUACUGAUGGGCACUUAGGCUGUUUCCAGAUCUUAGCUAUGGUGAAUUGUGCUGCUAUGAACAUAUGGGUGCAUAUAUCAGGAAAGCGGUUUUCUUAGAUAAAGUCAGGAACAUGGGCUCCUGAAGAAACAGCCACAGCAAAGCAGGGCCCACGGAGAGCAAGCCACUGCCUCCACGGAAGGCGGGGCUCGGCCCUUCUCACGGACGGUCCCGGCCUCCCCUGUACCCAGUCACCCCUGCACUUGGCCACCCCUGCACCCGGUCACCCCUGCACCCGGUCACCCCUGUACCUGGUCAGCCAUGCACCCGGUCAGCCCUACACCUGGUCAGCCAUGCACCCGGUCAGCCCUGCACCUGGUCACCCCUGCACCCUGCCUGCCCUGCACCCCGAGAAGGUGCCGCGUGGGGAAGCGUUCACUCGGGCAAGAGCGGGAAAGAUCUUGGUAGAUGACUUAGGAGACUUCGUGGAGAUUUCAAGACAAGGAUGGAAGUUUAAAAAGAAAGCUGGACAGUGAGGCUCUGGAGGUUUCCACCCAGGAAGGACUCACAGGUUCCCUGAGCCCAGGAGACACGUCUAAGGGGGUCCCGGCCCCAGACCCUGGGCUCUCCUGUGGAUUUCCUAUCUGUUUCCUGCCCAAUAAGCACACGCAGUUCGUACGCAUCCCCAGUGUCUGCAGAGGCCAGACCAGGACCCGUGGGAAGCGAUGGCCAGAGGGACUGUGGUGAUGCCCACAGGUGAGCCCUGGGGCAGCUGGCCUCCUGGGAGGGACGCUAGGAGCUUUGCCACCUGUGUUUCCAGCAGGAACCUUCCGGCAGGACCUUGAGGUGGUGCCCCCCAGGCCCCCCAGCUGCCGCCGGCCCCAGGCUGUGGGCUCCUGCCUUUCAUCUGGGCUCUGCCUGCCCGGAGCCUGUUUGGUUUGCUCCCCGAAGGCAAACAGACCCCUCAGCACUGCCUCCCAGGAGCUGGCCGAGACUGUUCGCGGGAAGGUGAGAAAAAAUAAAACCGAAAUGGAAAGAAGUGCCGCUGGGAAUUCAAUCCGAACCAGUGUUCGGAGAGCUGAGGCCCUGUGUCCACCAGGAGGGCAAACCCUGCUUUAGGGGACGACCCAGGAGAACAUUCAAGAAACAUGGAGCCCGCAGGUGUGCUCAGUGGGUGAGCGUCGACCUAUGAACUGGGAGGUCACGGUUCGAUUCCCGGUCAGGGCACAGGCCCGGGUUGCAGGCCUGAUCCCUGGUGGGCCGUGCAGGAGGCGGCCGAUCCAUGAUUCUCUCUCAUCAUGGAUGUCUCUCUCCCUCCCUCUCCCUCCCUCCCCUGUCCUCCAUUACUCUUUCAUGAAUAAUUAUUUGUGUCUACGUUGCGCCCCCAAACUUUGAAACUAGGCAGAAUCCACAGGGCCACAGAGGAGUGUCUUGUUCCCGCCGUGCAGGGGACGGGGCCACGCGUGGGAACCCGUUGCAGCUGACGGCACCCCUCGCCGUUCCGUGGAUUUAGCAACACCUCUGUCCUGGUUUAUGGCUCCGGCUGCUGAUUGCUGUGGCCACACGCGCCAUCGGACCCUGUCACCCUGCAGGCGCCCCCUAUGUCGGCGCCCCGGGUCCAGCGGCUGCGAAGUGAGGCUGAGCUCCGUGUGGCACAAAUGGCAUCAGCGACCUCGAGCAGGCACACGCCAAGUGGAGUCCCUGGUUCUAGGAACCGACCGGAGCCGCCUCUUCGAUCCAGGAUCAAACUUUGGUUCUGCCUCUUGCUGGGAAGACACCUUCCGCUGUGUUUACAGGGUGCAAACAUGGACUCCAUCCGACGAGGGCGAUUUAACAUGAAUUCCCUUCUCCGAUUUGCUGUCUGUUUAGACCCAGCUCUGGCGGCCAUUCAGGACGGUUGUUUGAACCCGGGACCCAAUGCUGGAGUGAAGGUGGCUCCCUCUCCCCUUGGGGGUCUGGGUGGCCGUGGACUUGUGCCAGCAGGCUGUCCCGGGAAGUCCCCGGGGAUGUCGGGGUCUGGGAGGGUUAGGGGACCGGCCUCGCCCAGCCCCGCACUCAGCUGUGGGCCAUGGGGAGGGUGGGCCUGCACCCCACCCCCCAGCAGGCAGCCAGCCUGAGGCCUCCCCCUCCCUUCCCUCCCUCUCAGCUCAGCUCAGCGUGGGUGUCAGGGAAAUCAUUAAGGCCCGGCGCCCCCACACCUGGGCGGGGUUCCCUGCUGUAACUUUAUGGCCCCAGGAGGCAGGUUUGACGCCAGGAAUAGCUUCUGCCAACAGCUGCAGAGAGCCUGCUCCCCAGACAGUAAAAUGUAAAGAGGGAGGAGAGGCGGCCUUUGAAGUUUACAAAACAGCAUGGCUUUGACCACUUCCUCUUUCCUCUUCAAUUGGUGUCCCAGGUGUGCGUCCCCCCAUCAGGGCUGCGGGCUCCCGGCGCUCUCCCAGGCCCCCCCGCCUGCCUCGGGGACCUCACUGUGAGGAGCCAAGGAAUCGGACCGUGGCCCCUGCUCAUAGUCAGCGCUCAACCACGGAGCCACGCCGCCGGGCACGUUCACAUCUCUUCACGCUGUUACCGACUUCCUUCUCAGCGCCCUCCAGCCGCAGCUCGCAGAGUUCGCUACGUGUGUUUUCAUUUUAACUCUGUUCAGUAUGCCUUUAAUGUCCUCGAGCCUCCUCUUGGACCCACGGAUUAUAUGGGGGGUUGCUGGCUGCUUCCCCCCGAUGCUCUUUUCCUGGUCUCCCCCCACCCGCUGCUCCGUCCGUGGCUGAGAUGCGGGGAUGGGUCCUGCCUUAAGGGGUCGAGGAGGCCAAACCUGGACCCGGAGAAAGAGCUUGGCUUCUAACGAGGCCUGACCCCACCCCGUCCUGAGGGAGAGGGGCCCCCAGGGGGACCACGUGCAUCUCCUAGCAUGGGUUACCCCUGAAGACACGGGCGGAAAUCCGUCUUCUCGAAACUGACGCAAGCACGCAGAUUUUAAGGAGUAAAAGCGAUUUAGCAAGAACAUGUGAUUUCAAAGAAACUGCUCUCGAUGCCAGCUGGGGCCCAGAUGGCUGUGGGCUCCUUCCCUCCGAUAGCAGGGAGGUAGUCAAGCCCAGACCCUGGCCCAGGUCCUGCCCUGAGUGGUGGGAACUUGAACUUGGAUCACUGGUCCCAGGUCAGGUGACAGCUCCCCAAGGAUGCAGGGUGGCGGCAGGACUGGGGGAACCUGGCCUUUUCUUGGAGCCCCUGGAGCAAGGCUCCCUCAGAAUGAGGGUGUGUGAAGGGGGGGCAGCCACAGCCGGCUUUCCCAGCACAGAGCUUGGAGCUGCGCCAGGCCUGCCUGGUCUCCCUGCCUCUGGUCUCCCUGUCCAGGUCUCCCGCUCAUGUGCUGGGUGGCAGCUCCGAGGGGCCAGGUCCUGGGAGAGCCGUGUUAGGUGGAAGGCCUCUCCCCCGAGACACCACGCGGCCCCCACCAGCCCCUGGGUGCGGAGGGUGACACCCUGCUCAUUUGUGGAGAAAAGUGUCUCCCUGUUUCAGUGACCCCUUCAGGCCCCGCAUUAGCCCCUGAACGAGGCAGCCGCAGUUUUGACGGAAGAGAGACAUGCGGCCUUUCUUGUUGCCAUUUAGGGGCUAGUGAUGCCUGUUCCCCUAGAAUCAGGGCGCAGAGGUGAGGAACUGGCAACAUGGCGGGAGGUGGCUGGCCGGGGGCAGGCAGAGGCGGACGCUGCUGGGCCCCAGGCCAGGCUGGGACCCGUGAACUGCUCGGCGGUCAGGGGACCCUCAGCGGGCGUCCGUGCAUAGCAAGCGGGUUUGGUCGGCGUUUCUGGUGGAAAUACAGGUGUUUGCUGCGUCCUCUCCCCACUCCAUGCCCAUCUCGAGGGCAGGAGGCUUCUCUCCGCUGAGCUGGGUUUGCCCAGGAGCUCACCUCCUCCUGCGGGAAGCCCCCCUGGAUUUACAGCCGUCACCGGUCCUGCCACGCGGGCGGAAAGGGCCCUCCCUGGAGUGCAUUCCUCAGCGGCUUGAGCUCCCUGACGGCUGUGUGUCCUCCGCAGCCCCCAGCGCUUUUCCUGGAAGCGCAAUCUGUCAAGCAGCUGCUGCGGGAGCUAAUAAAGCCUGUUUGU